rnacentral:rRNA from 1 species
UACAGAGGGGGCAAGCGUUGUUCGGAAUUACUGGGCGUAAAGGGCGCGUAGGCGGCCUUCUGAGUCGAACGUGAAAUCCCUGGGCUCAACCCAGGAACUGCGUCCGAUACUGGGAGGCUUGAAUCCGGGAGAGGGAUGUGGAAUUCCAGGUGUAGCGGUGAAAUGCGUAGAUAUCUGGAGGAACACCGGUGGCGAAGGCGGGUCUCUGGGCCGAUACUGACGCUGAGGAGCGAAAGCGUGGGGAGCGAACAGG